AUACGAAGGGGGCUAGCGUUGUUCGGAUUUACUGGGCGUAAAGCGCACGUAGGCGGAUUGAUUAGUUAGGGGUGAAAUCCCGAGGCUCAACCUCGGAACUGCCUCUAAAACUGUCAAUCUCGAGACCGGAAGAGGUGAGUGGAACUCCUAGUGUAGAGGUGGAAUUCGUAGAUAUUAGGAAGAACACCAGUGGAGAAGGCGGCUCACUGGUCCGGUACUGACGCUGAGGUGCGAAAGCGUGGGGAGCGAACAGGAUUAGAUACCCUAGUAGUCC
rnacentral:rRNA from 1 species